AGACAGGUGCUGCAUGGCUGUCGUCAGCUCGUGUUGUGAAAUGUUGGGUUAAGUCCCGCAACGAGCGCAACCCUUAUCCUUUGUUGCCAGCGGUUCGGCCGGGAACUCAAAGGAGACUGCCAGUGAUAAACUGGAGGAAGGUGGGGAUGACGUCAAGUCAUCAUGGCCCUUACGAGUAGGGCUACACACGUGCUACAAUGGCGCAUACAAAGAGAAGCGACCUCGCGAGAGCAAGCGGACCUCAUAAAGUGCGUCGUAGUCCGGAUUGGAGUCUGCAACUCGACUCCAUGAAGU
rnacentral:rRNA from 1 species